UAGCGACACGAAGUUUUGAUAUUCUUCUUAUUACGGGUAAUUAACAUGUUUUUUUUUCUAAAUUAUAGAUUCUUUCAAUAUACUAAUCGAUAGUCAGACAUGUGAUUUUUAUAGCAUUUGCAAGUCGAAAAAAUGGCGCGUUUGAAAUAUAUUCGUGAAAAUAAAAUUGUCAUUUAGACGUGUCUAUCGUGGGGAUUAUUGCGUUAUACUUUUUCUAGAAUUCUCAGCUUUUAUUUUUCCGAUAUACUUGCACACUCGUAUUUAUAUCCGGAUUGUUAUUGGCAAGUGUGUGAUAUAAACGUGUAGAAGGUGACUGAAUGCCUGAGUUACAAUUGAAAGAAAAUUUGGAAGACAAUAAAGAGGACAUUCUAUUAUAAUACAUAAUAUUCUACGAAUCGACGAAGCUUUAUACACAGUACAGUGAAGAUUGAGUUUUGUUUUUCACUGCUCUUCGUAUGUAGCUGAAAAUAAAUUAAAUGAAAGUUUUUUGUUGCCGCAUGAUAAACAAAGUUAGGGAAGGUGACUUCCUUCUCACUAUUCAAUAAUAUGAUCCCUGCGGCAACACUCGACUGUUCUGCUACAAAUGUAGAUCUUAUUCUGCUGUUGUUCAUGCAGCCAUGAAUAGGUCGAUUCUUAUUUCAAUAAGGUAAAAGAAAAAUCGUGAAGUUGAUUGUUUUUAAGUUUAUUUAAAUUUGUUUGCGAUUUCAAUUAACUUCUAUGAACAUGUGUAUUUGAAUAAAUUGCGCGCAAAUUUUUAGAGUCAGUUUUUGUCGUAUAAAGUUUUAUGUAAGGCUGUUCACUAUCUUUUGUUCAAAGCGUAUGUGUCUUCAGCGAUAGAUAUGGACAAAAUAUGAACUACGAAACAAGCGGGAAACGUUGUAACAAUCAUACGUCUUUCGUAUUGAUGUAUAAGCUUGUGUUGAUUAUUCUCCUCUCACGCGAUAUAUCAAUUGGUUUCGUGUAGAUAGAGUCAAUAGUUUAGUAGACUGUGAACGAACUUUUCAGUCUCUCAUAUGUAUAUCUUUUUUUUAUGGUAGCAUGCCUGUCUCACAGUGAUUCGUGUUAGAUAGGAUGUCUGUACAUAUUUGUUUUACGAUAAAAGCAUAGAAAUAAUAAAUAAAAUUGACGCAUAUAAGAAUUAAUAUAUAAAUCUAUUUAUAUUAGUAUAUAAAUAGUGAAUAAGAAACAAUGUGGAAUCCAAUGCAUAAAGAUCAUAAAGUACUAAGAUAAAAAAAAACCAUAGCGGGCAAAAACAAAAGAAACAUUACUUUUUUUCAUAUGCCAUUUGUAUUAGUCAUGUAAAAUGAUAUAUUUUUUCUUUUGUUAUCAUA